UACGUAGGCAGCGAGCGUUGUUCGGAGUUACUGGGCGUAAAGCGUGCGUAGGCGGUGUCUUAAGUUUGUUGUGAAAUCUCCCGGCUUAACCGGGAGGGUGCGGCGAAUACUGAGAUGCUGGAGUGCCGGAGAGGUAAGCGGAAUUCCUGGUGUAGCGGUGAAAUGCGUAGAUAUCAGGAGGAACACCUGCGGUGUAGACGGCUUACUGGACGGUAACUGACGCUGAGGAGCGAAAGCGUGGGGAGCGAACAGG
rnacentral:rRNA from 1 species